rnacentral:misc_RNA from 1 species
GAUGAAGAACGUAGCGAAAUGCGAUAACUAAUGUGAAUUGCAGAAUUCCGUGAAUCAUCGAGUCUUUGAACGCACAUUGCGCCCCCUGGUAUUCCGGGGGGCAUGCCUGUCCGAGCGUCACUACAACCCUCAAGCCCGGCUUGUGUAAUGGGCGGCCGUCUCUCCCCCCGGGGGGAGACGCCCCCGAAACUCAGUGGGGAUGUCGCGAUACCGAAGCCUCAGCUAAUGGGUAAACCACAGCUGCAAUGGCCGCGGCCGGCGUCCGCCUUCCACGGUCCGUCCGCCUAGCGCGGGCGGCCUUCUCAAGGUUGACCUCGGAUCAGGUAGGGAUACCCGCUGAACUUAAGCAUAUCAAUAAGCGGAGGA